UUCCGGCAGUCGGCAAGAUGGCGGCGCUGGGACGGGCAGUGCGAGAGGAGGAGGGAAGGGAAGAACGGUUUGGGUUGGAAAGACCUUAAAGCCCAUCCAGCCCCACUCCCAGGGACACCUUCCAUAGCCCAGGUUGCUCCAGGCCCCGUCUAACCCGGCCUUGGGCACUUCCAGGGGAUUAAGGCAAGAUCCGUUUAAGUGAGGCUGGUAGGAGCAAUCCCAGAGAAACGCCUGGGGAUUAAAGAAGAACUGGAGCAGCAGCUGUGGAGCUGAGCCUGUGGAGUUGAGCUCUCCAUGUCCUCCAUGUGGACAUGGAGAGCAGAGAGGAAAGGUCAAAACCUGCUCUCAUGCUUGGCAAAACAUCAUCAAGUGAUUCCCAAGGCCUCAGAGGGCCCCCUGUGCACCUUAAAGGACCUGCCACAGCCUGGACAGCCAGUUAAACAGCAGAAAUUAUGCCAAAUAUCAUCAAUUCUGUAAAUGUGAGUACUACAGAGAAUUAACAACAGACAGAAGUACAAACAAACUCAGCAGUUCCUCAGUGCACAACCCCUGCCCCUUCCCAACUGGGCCUCACUUCCUUCAAUCCCAAAGCUCCCAACCAACAUUCAGUGCACAGCACAAACUCCCACAUCCAGCAAGAGCUCCCCACCUUCUUCCUGGGAAACAUUUUGGCCAAAGGAAGAGAAAAAAUGAAGGGAAAAGAGAGGGGGCACCUGGAGUUGAACCAGGGACCUCUUGAUCUGCAGUCAAAUGCUCUACCACUGAGCUAUACCCCCCUGGGGCUGCACCUGAACAAAGGGAUUUAAAAACAUUUAUGAAGAGAAACACAUUUCUGUGUCCACUGCUUGGGCUCUUUUACUCAACAGCCCCCUGCACCCUGCCUGUCAAAGGCUGUACAGGGAGUUAAACAGGAGAAAUGAUGGGAAAUAUGGUCAGUUCUGGGAAAUAUUGUCAGUUUUGGUAAAUAUAGAGUUAGGAACAGAGAAAGGCACACACAAACAGUGAGUAGUUACUCACACAGGGCACAGCUCCUGGAGCUUCCCAGGAGUCAGGGCCUUGGAACCUUCAAAGAUGGAGCUCAGAACCACAUGGAGAGAACAGCACAAGCUGCCAGAUUCAGGAAGGGGCUCUCCAGCUUCUUUCUGGGAAAGAUUUUGGCAAAAUAAAGGCUGAAGGAGAGGAAAAGAGGGGGCACCUGGAGUUGAACCAGGGACCUCUUGAUCUGCAGUCAAAUGCUCUACCACUGAGCUAUACCCCCUUGGUGCAGAAUGUGCACAGGGAUAUUUUAAAAUGUUUAUGGAGACAGACAAGUUUUGAUAUCUAUGGUUUGUAUUCCUUUAUUUGACAGCCCCCUGUGCACCUUAAAGGACCUGCCACAGGCUCUACAGCCAGUUAAACAGAAGAAAUGAUGCCAAAUAUUAUCAAUUCUGCUAAAUGGGAGUACUGCAGAGAAUUAACAACAGACAAAACAAGCUCAGCAGUUCCUCAGUGCACAACCCCUGCCCCUUCCCAACAGGGCCUCAUUUCCUUCAAUCCCAAGGCUCCCAACCAACAUUCAGUGCACAGCACAAACUCCCACAUCCAACAAGAGCUCCCCACCUUCUCCCUGGGAAACAUUUUGGCCAAAGGAAGAGAAAAAAAUGAAGGGAAAAGAGAAGGGAGCACCUGGAGUUGAACCAGGGACCUCUUGAUCUGCAGUCAAAUGCUCUACCACUGAGCUAUACCCCCCUUGGUGCAGGGUGUGCACAGGUAGAUACAAAAAACAUUUAUUUGGAAAGAAACAAGUUUUUUCUGUCUGUGGGUCGGAUUCUUUUUCUUGCAAGCUCCCUUUGUGUGCCUGCCAAAGGGAGUUAAAUACCAUAAAUUGUGAUAAAUGUGAUCACUGCAGAAAAUGAAGAACAGAGGAAGGCCCAGACAGUGAGAAGUUGCUCACACAGGGCACAACCUCUGGAGUUUCCCCAUAGUCAGAGCCACGAUACCUUUGAAGCUGAAGCUCAGAACCAAGGUUGAGUGCACAGAACAAACUCCCAGAUCCACCAAGAGCUCCCCAGCUUCCUCCUGGGAAAGAUUUUGGCCAAAGGAAGAGAAAAAAAUGAAGGGAAAAGAGAGGGGGCACCUGGAGUUGAACCAGGGACCUCUUGAUCUGCAGUCAAAUGCUCUACCACUGAGCUAUACCCCCUGCUUCCAGCCAGCAUUCCCAGCAGGAAUCUCCCUGCUAAUUGCCAUCCCAGCAAAACUGCUAAUUAAUCCCAGGGCAGAAAAGCAGGUUCUCAAAGAAAUACUCAUCCCUCUCCUUGGGAACACUGUGCAGAGGCUCCUCUGCCCUGCUGGGGGUCACCUGCAGCCUGCAACCAGCACAAGAGCUCUGGGGGGGAAAUGUGGGGAUGGAGAGCUCCAAACCAAAUCCUGGGGGAUGAAAAGAAGGGGAAAAAAAAAAUAAAAGGGGAGGGGGCACCCGGAUUUGAACCGGGGACCUCUUGAUCUGCAGUCAAAUGCUCUGCCCCUGAGCUAUACCCCCGUGAGGGAGGCAGGGCCAGGGAGGCUCCUUGUGGGCAGUGACACGGCCACAUUCCAGGGCUGCUCCCACACCUCAGCCCUGCCACAUUCCAGGGCUGCUCCCACACCUCAGCCCUGCCACAUUCCAGGGCUGCUCCCACACCUCAGCCCUGCCACAGUCCAGGGCUGCUCCCACACCUCAGCCCUGCCACAUUCCCAGGGCUGCUCCCACCCCUCAGCCCUGACACAUCCCAGGGCUGCUCCCACACCUCAGCCCUGCCACAGUCCAGGGCUGCUCCCACACCUCAGCCCUGCCACAUCCCAGGGCUGCUCCCACACCUCAUCCCUGCCAUGUUCCAG